UCCCAGCAGCGACUUGUAAAAAAAAACAAUUGCUCCAGUCGGCACGUCUCAGCGGCCGGCGACGCGUUCAAUCCGUCUGGAAUUGCCUCAGUUGGGUAACAUCAGCGGCUUUCUUAAAGCUCACAGAUCAAAUGAACGUGGCCACACCUAUAUAUAUAUAGUAGUGGUUAAGAUAUGAACGGCCGCGGCUGUUGCCAGCCGCGAGGAAAUUUUUUUUGCGGAACCUGCGGAAGGAUCAUU
rnacentral:rRNA from 1 species